rnacentral:rRNA from 1 species
UACAGAGGUCCCAAGCGUUGUCCGGAAUUAUUGGGCGUAAAGAGCUCGUAGGCGGUCUGUCGCGUCGGCUGUGAAAACCCGGGGCUCAACCCCGGGCCUGCAGUCGAUACGGGCAGACUAGAGUGCGGUAGGGGAGACUGGAAUUCCUGGUGUAGCGGUGAAAUGCGCAGAUAUCAGGAGGAACACCGGUGGCGAAGGCGGGUCUCUGGGCCGUAACUGACGCUGAGGAGCGAAAGCGUGGGGAGCGAACAGG